AAUGCAUACUGCCGAGAUUUUAGAAUUUAUCAAUUCAAAACAUCUUUAAAAAAGAUUUUUUUUGAUAGAUUACAAAACAUUAAUAAUUGAUUUUAAAUCACUAAUUGGAUAACAUCCCCUUAAUGUUACUGGAUACUUGCUAUUAAAUUAUUACAUGACUUAAUUUACUUAAUUUUUUUCUGUUCCAUCUAAGUUUCCAAUCCUUCUUACACAUGUGGCAAAGAAAAAAAUGUGUGGAACCCAAAAGGUUGCAUGAUAGUGAGCAACAAGAGCUGACUGCAUUAAUUGUGAUAAAACCUCAAAAUUAUUCUAGGUGUUCGAGAGGCAUUACCAACUAAACAUGGUGAAGGGUUUAUAGUUAAAAAGUUUAUUUAAUUAAUAAUUUUCACUGAUUUAUGAAAAUAAUAAUAAGAAAAUAUUUAUGAAAAACUAGAAUUGAAAAUCUAUAGUCUCAGGUCAUGCAAACUGUUGUCGACUCAUGAGGUCAAAGAUU
rnacentral:lncRNA from 1 species